ACGGGUGAGUAACGCGUGGGAACGUGCCUUCUGGUUCGGAAUAACUCAGGGAAACUUGAGCUAAUACCGGAUACGCCCUUUUUGGGGAAAGGUUUACUGCGGGAAGAUCGGCCCGCGUCUGAUUAGCUAGUUGGUGGGGUAACGGCCUACCAAGGCGACGAUCAGUAGCUGGUCUGAGAGGAUGAUCAGCCACACUGGGACUGAGGCACGGCCCAGACUCCUACGGGAGGCAGCAGUGGGGAAUAUUGGACAAUGGGCGCAAGCCUGAUCCAGCCAUGCCGCGUGAGUGAUGAAGGCCUUAGGGUUGUAAAGCUCUUUUAUCCGGGACGAUAAUGACGGUACCGGAGGAAUAAGCCCCGGCUAACUUCGUGCCAGCAGCCGCGGUAAUACGAAGGGGGCUAGCGUUGCUCGGAAUCACUGGGCGUAAAGGGCGCGUAGGCGGUCUUUUAAGUCGGGGGUGAAAGCCUGUGGCUCAACCACAGAAUUGCCUUCGAUACUGGGAGACUUGAGUUCGGAAGAGGUUGGUGGAACUGCGAGUGUAGAGGUGAAAUUCGUAGA
rnacentral:rRNA from 1 species